rfam:Brassica oleracea var. oleracea cultivar TO1000 chromosome C1, whole genome shotgun sequence
GGAAGUUAAGAAACUGUUUCUUAACUUUUAACCAAAAAAACUAAAAACUGGUUCUUAAAUAAGGACUUUAAGAACCGGUCCUUAUUUAAGAACCGGUUCUUAGCUUUUUUUAGUUAAAAGUUAAGAAACAGUUUCUUAACUUCC